GACGAACGCUGGCGGCGUGCUUAACACAUGCAAGUCGAACGGAAAGGCCCCUUCGGGGGUACUCGAGUGGCGAACGGGUGAGUAACACGUGAGUAACCUGCCCUUGACUUCGGGAUAACUUCAGGAAACUGGGGCUAAUACCGGAAAGGAAUCCUUGCUGCAUGGUGGGGGUUGGAAAGCUUCGGCGGUUUUGGAUGGACUCGCGGCUUAUCAGCUUGUUGGUGGGGUAGUGGCUUACCAAGGCUUUGACGGGUAGCCGGCCUGAGAGGGCGACCGGCCACAUUGGGACUGAGAUACGGCCCAGACUCCUACGGGAGGCAGCAGUGGGGAAUAUUGCACAAUGGGCGGAAGCCUGAUGCAGCAACGCCGCGUGCGGGAUGACGGCCUUCGGGUUGUAAACCGCUUUCAGCAGGGGCGAAGCUUGUGGUGACGGUACCUGCAGAAGAAGCACCGGCUAACUACGUG
rnacentral:rRNA from 1 species